GAUGAACGCUAGCUACAGGCUUAACACAUGCAAGUCGAGGGGAAACGGCAUUAAGUGCUUGCACUUUUUGGACGUCGACCGGCGCACGGGUGAGUAACGCGUAUCCAACCUUCCCAUGACUAAGGGAUAACCUGCCGAAAGGCAGACUAAUACCUUAUGGUCUUCACUGACGGCAUCAGAUGUGAAGUAAAGAUUUAUCGGUUAUGGAUGGGGAUGCGUCUGAUUAGCUAGUUGGCGGGGUAACGGCCCACCAAGGCAACGAUCAGUAGGGGUUCUGAGAGGAAGGUCCCCCACAUUGGAACUGAGACACGGUCCAAACUCCUACGGGAGGCAGCAGUGAGGAAUAUUGGUCAAUGGGCGAGAGCCUGAACCAGCCAAGUAGCGUGCAGGAUGACGGCCCUAUGGGUUGUAAACUGCUUUUGUAUGGGGAUAAAGUCAAUCACGUGUGAUUGUUUGCAGGUACCAUACGAAUAAGGACCGGCUAAUUCCGUGCCAGCAGCCGCGGUAAUACGGAAGGUCCGGGCGUUAUCCGGAUUUAUUGGGUUUAAAGGGAGCGUAGGCUGGAGAUUAAGUGUGUUGUGAAAUGUAGACGCUCAACGUCUGACUUGCAGCGCAUACUGGUUUCCUUGAGUACGCACAACGUUGGCGGAAUUCGUCGUGUAGCGGUGAAAUGCUUAGAUAUGACGAAGAACUCCGAUUGCGAAGGCAGCUGACGGGAGCGCAACUGACGCUGAAGCUCGAAGGUGCGGGUAUCGAACAGG
rnacentral:rRNA from 1 species